UCAGACAAACGGGCCGAUACGUACGAAUGGGCUACCAUAAGCCCCGCCCCUUCCGGGAGGUCUCCGGAAGUUGGGACCCUUUUAGCUAUGAAAUAUUUUGGAUUGCGUAGGGUCUUGCGCAGCCGCGAAAAGUAGCGUGGGCCAGGACAGCGGGAGGUAAGUCGCCAAGAAAAGGGUUGGGAAGAGCUCAGAAUCGGACGGCUAGGAAGAAAUGACCAAAAGGAGCCUGAUAGCCCCCUAUUCUGCACGCUGUUCCUGGAAACCGCCUUUGCAAAGACAGUGAGAGAAAUCUAACAUGGCUCACUCCAUCUUGCUUCUAGCCUCGCAGGCCGGCUGUCUUCGCUCAUUCCUGGGCAUAAACCAAGCUAACCAUGGGAGAAUUUAUAGUUUAACUUUUAAGCAAGGAUGAUCAUAGUCCCUUCCUUAAACAGGGCCCCUCCUUGUUUGGGGGCUGAAACUGCCUUUAUAAAACUAAUGAAAGACCGGGAGGUUAGGAUUAUGAGGGGAGAAUUCUGCUAAAAUGUAGUAAACGAUAACCAGCCAUUGUUUCGGAGGACAUCGGAUGUGUAACUUCCCCAAUUAUUCCUGUAGAUAACGUUAUCGUAGCACCUAAGAUUGGUCUUUUGAGGCAUUUUUCAGACUUUCGCAUUCUGGCAACUAACUGACCCCACCCAGACUCGUGACCCAUGACCCAACCGCUUCUUCUGUCCCACUCCUCCCCCAAGAGGCGGACUCAGCUGUUGAGGAGUGUAGUCCACACCCCUGUGAUUGCAUCUCCAACCAAUCAGCAGCAUCCAUUCCCUAGUGCCCUGCCCACACCAAACUAUGAAAUACCCUAACCUCUGAGCUGACCCUUCAGGAAAACUUACUUGAGUGGUAACCCUUCUUCCCUGAGGCCAGCCUCAGGUUAAUACAACUGUAUACUGCAGUAGCACUUUUCAGUGAAUUGGUUUUGUCUGCAGUAAGCAGGAAAAACCUGCAGUGCCAUUCAUUCCCAUGAGUGGAAAGUUCUUUCCAUUUAGAGCUUAAGGUGUUGUCACUUUCUCCAAGAAGCAGGUCUUGCCCUUGGCCUGGUGUGGUGGUUCAUGGCUGCAAUCCCAGCACAUUGCGGGGCGGAGGCGGGAGGAUUGCUUGAGCCCAGGAGUUCAAGACCAGCCUGGACAACAAAGUAAGAAUCAGUCUCUAAAUUAAAAAAUAAAAGUAAUUUUUUUUUGUUUUUUUGUUUUGAGACAGAGUCUUGCACUAUCACCCAGGCUGGAGUGCAGUGGCACCGAUCUCGGCUUACUGCAACGUCCGGCUCCCGGGUUCAGACGAUUCUCCUGCCUCAGCUUCCCGAGUAGCUGG
rnacentral:lncRNA from 1 species